GUGGGGAAUAUUGGACAAUGGGCGAAAGCCUGAUCCAGCAAUGCCGCGUGAGUGAUGAAGGCCUUAGGGUUGUAAAGCUCUUUUACCCGGGAAGAUAAUGACUGUACCGGGAGAAUAAGCCCCGGCUAACUCCGUGCCAGCAGCCGCGGUAAUACGGAGGGGGCUAGCGUUGUUCGGAAUUACUGGGCGUAAAGCGCACGUAGGCGGUUUCCCAAGUCAGAGGUGAAAGCCCGGAGCUCAACUCCGGAAUUGCCUUUGAAAAUAGGUGACUAGAACACGGGAGAGGUGAGUGGAAUUCCGAGUGUAGAGGUGAAAUUCGUAGAUAUAGGAAGGAACACCAGUGGCGAAGGCGACUACCUGGACUGAUACUGACACUGAGGUGCGAAAGCGUGGGGAGCAAACAGGAUUAGAAACCCGGGUAGUCC
rnacentral:rRNA from 1 species